CUGGGAUGGACGCGGGGCGGGCGGGCUCUGGCGCGCGGAGCCAGGAGUCCGGGCCUCCCGGCUGCUGAGCGUCCCCCGAAGACUACUCCCACCCCCGCCUUCCCUCUUAGGAGCCGCGUCGACCUCUGCCUCGAGGCUCCGGACUCGGCUCCCGCCCUCCUCAGACUCCCCGGACCUCCCCCUCCCGCCCGCCCUCGGGAUCGACUAGAUCCCUCCCCCUCCCCGAGGAUUCCGGCUGGAUCCCUGCCCCUGCACCGCGGAUCCUGCGCUCUGGGGCCCCGGGCCCCUGGGGAUUGCCGUGGACUCCUCCUCCAGCAUCCGAUCCCUUAGGAUCCUCCGCCUGGACCGCCUUCUGGUCCCUCGAAGCGGGCCCACGGAGCCAGUGGAUCUCCAAUCCAGUCCUGUCCCGUUGCUCCCUCCUUGCUCUUCCGUGCCCACUGCGGGGUUCCCUGUUCUCGGGCUCCCCCUGAUCCCAUCCCCUAGCUCUCCUUUUCCCGGGGAUCGACUGGAUCCCGGCCCCGCCCCCCGGGGCUGGGGCGAUCCCCCUCCCCCGCCGGGUGAGGCGCUGCGGGCGGGGGCUGGGCCUGCGGGGCCGCGGGGGCUCAGAGGCCGCCGCCCCCCUCUCGAAGCCCGUCCGCCCCCCACUCGGAGCCCUGGAUGGAGGCACCACGGCCCCAGGGCUGAGCCAGGUAGGAGCUAAGCCAGGCUGGGUGGAGGGGUCUGCGUGGUGGUCUGCUGGGGUCUCCUCUCCCCAUCUCCCUCCCUGAGCCUGGUUUCCCACAGCCUGCUCUGUCUGCGUGUCUCCGCCUAGGGAUGCUCUCGCCGUGUCUCUGCGUCUUGGUCUCUUUGUCUCUGCCUCUCUCCAGUCUAUGAAUGAUCCUUUGAAUGGGCCCACAGACCCCGUGUGUUCCCAUCUCCCCCUCCCCCUCCUUCUCCCCUUCCCGGCCAAGCCAUUUUCCCCACUGCGGGAAGGGGGGGGCUGCGGCCUGAGCCCCCGUCCCUCAACUCUACCCUGUUGGGGGAGUCAGGCCUGGGCUGGAAUGGAGAGAGCAAGGCAGAGGGAUGGGAAGAAGGAGGGGGAGCAAGAUGUGAUAGACAGAGAUGGGGAGAGAAAAUGGGGGAGACUGAGAUAGGGGAAGACAGGAAAGAAAGAGGGAGCUUGAGAGAGAAAAUUGAGGAAGAAAUUUGGAGGAGAGAGAAAGAGAA
rnacentral:lncRNA from 1 species